AAAAAAAGAGGCAGAACGUGGAAAAGGGCAAAAAGAGAACCAGAGAACAAGGGUUGAAGGGAGGAAAAGCUUGAAGCUGCAGAAUUUGCCGGAUUAACUCAGGUAACAAGCAGUGAGUUGAGUAGAAGCUAUUUUUGAAGUCUAAUGUCGUCUUUAGCGGGUCAUGCUCUGAUAGAUGUAACAUCGGGAGGGGAUGUUUUAAUUAAUUUGAUAUUGGUUGUUGAAUGAUUUACAUGUAUCGUGUUACAUGCUUUACAUUGAUGUUGGAUUUUAUUCCGCUGCGAAUUAUGCAAAAGAACCUUAUUUUGAUUUAAUAAAUGAGCAUGACAGGACAUUUUGAUAA